GUAACACUAUUAAUAAAUGUAUUAAUUUCAGUUGUGAGCUACCAGGACCUCUAGUGUUAAACGAAGAGGAGGAUCCAUAUGACUACCCACAACAACUUGAGAAUGAAGAUUAUAAUGAGAUUGACGAAAAUGAAAAUCCAAAUAUAACAUACGCUUACGAUAAGCCUGCAGUACAUUCACAAGAUGAAAACACUUAUGAGUUACCUGCCAGAACAAAUGACCAAGAUUUCAGAAUUCCAUUCGAAAAUGAUGAUUAUGACGUCAUCGCCCAAAAACUCGUGCAACACUUCAGGGGAUGUUAGCGAGCUUGCUUCCAAUUUAGAACCUACAUGAGGACAGAACAUUGUGUACAGUUCAAGACCCAGAAACCACUUAGUCAUGCUUUUGUUUGUGAUUCACUAAUUAUUUGAGAUAUUAAAUGCUGACAAUUUAAAAAAACAUGAAUGGUGUUUUAAUCUAAGUGCUGAGACAAAUGAAAACAAAAACAACAUGUCAUGUGAAAUAUUAUGACAGCACUAGAAUACAAAAGAGAAUAUAGAUAAUAUGUUAUUGUACAAGGUUAAGUGAACUAUUAUCCGCAAUGUGGUUGAACAUUUUAUUAUAAUUUAAAUUGAAAUUCAUAUACUCAAUAUUCCCUUUGUUGUUCAUGGUUGCACAAGCUUUCUUGUCAGGUUCUUUUUGCUUGUUAAUGAGCGUAACAUACGAAUAUAUAUGGUAGUAACUCAAGUGGCGGACCGAAAGGGUUAACGUAUUUGCGGCCUAUUGAUACACACGACUCAGGCCAAUCACACAGGUCAACGGGUCAACGGCUGUAC
rnacentral:sRNA from 1 species